rnacentral:rRNA from 1 species
UACAGAGGGGGCAAGCGUUAUUCGGAAUUAUUGGGCGUAAAGGGCGCGUAGGCGGCCAUUCAAGUGAAGGGUGAAAGCCCUCGGCUUAACCGAGGAACUGCCUGUCAGACUGGAUGGCUUGAGACCGGGAGAGGUGAGUGGAAUUCCCAGUGUAGCGGUUAAAUGCGUAGAUAUUGGGAGGAACACCAGUGGCGAAGGCGGCUCACUGGACCGGAACUGACGCUGAGGCGCGAAAGCGUGGGGAGCAAACAGG